AAUAUACACAUCAAGUUGUCAUACGUGGCCAUAAAUUGAAGGCAAACCUGGCGGCGACGACGAGGAAGAGCACUACCAACCCUCCCGAUAACUCAGCCUUGGUCGUGGACAUCAAACACUUCCCUGUCAGACGUAUUACCCUCGUACAUUUACUCUUUAUGGCCUCGCCUUGCAGUGCAGUCCAUCACGGCCUCAGGUGGUGAAAGUUACGACUGCUCAAUUGGCGCUAAAAAGACAUGAGUUCAAUUCCAUAAUGUUGGCAGUCCGGGACGAUGGGGAGGGAGAGGGAACGACCACGGUCAGUCCCUCUGUGUGGGUAUCACCGUAAAAUCUACCAUCAUCCGUCGCGUCCGUGGUGAUUACAGUGUUUUAUGGCGGUGCCGCGUGUGUCCUGUGCCUUGGGGAGCAGCGGGUGUCCUGCGGCGGUGGCCAGAUGCCGGACGGCGCCACUAAACAGACACGUGUUGAACAUUAUCUGGUCAACGGAGACACGUGACCUACCCGGAAGUCUCGCCUCUGCUACAAUGACCAAAGUCUGUCCCUGUGACCCUUGACCCGAGUCCAGGAGGUCAGGACGUGAUGGCAUGAGAGAGCCAACCACCAACCACCAACCACCACAACUAACCAACCUACCAACCACCAACCAGCGCCUACAUAUACGUACAUGCACAUACAUAUUACAUACAUCCUCAUACAUACGAAAUUUCCCCGCCGUCUCCACCACAAAGAAAAUUCAACGCGAUUGCCUAACCCGCCCUUGCCUUCGUCGUUAUUCCCGCGCCCUGUAACUCACUACGAGGUCGCGGCCGAUGCCAAAUUCCGCUGGUGUUUUUACGAGGUCAUUUUCAUGCGUCGGGGUUGCGUUGCAUGCGAGUGUGGAGUGAUCGUGGUGUGAGAUGUACGAGUGUGUGCGGCCUAGUGUGUGGACUGUUGAUGGCGUUAGUGAGAGAGAGAGAGAGAGAGAGAGAGAGAGAGAGAGAGAGAGAGUACCACCUAUACAGGAUAUUUCCAUUUCCAACUGCAUCCCUCGAAGUGUAAAAACAAAUUCAAUCCCAAAAAUAUCAUAAACGAAGUGAAGGGAAAGACAAAAGAGGGGAAAAAAAAAGGAAUAACUGGAGAUAAGAAAAAGGGAGAGGGAAAUAGACUAAACGUUGUGUGUGUGUGAG